UGCGUUACUCGUCUCAGUAUGAGGAGAGACUCGACCCCUUCACCUCCUUCAGCAAAAAGGAGCGUCUCCGGAGAUAUCAGAGCUCGGUCUGGUGUGUGACCUGGGUUUGCGCUCAUAUCGUUCAGUGCUGUCUAGCGAUUAAUCGUGAUCACCUGAUCCAGUCAAGUCUCCACCUACAUGUUUUUCAUUUCGAUAUACUCCACAAUAGGAAUGAAUGCUAAAUUUCAGGUCUCCUUGGGGUUUCCCAUCAAGAGAAAAACUAUGCUUUAAAUUUUGAAAACGUAAAAAUAACAACAGCCAUAAAUAUUAGCAUUGUAAUUAUUCCAUGAAAAGUUUUAUUAAGAUAUUUAUACUGUUUACUAUUUUAUGCUACAUUGGUAUUAAUUAAAGGAGUAGCAUAGUUCUUCGAUUGGCUUAAUUAUUAUUUUUAUAUAUAUAAUUUAAAGGAACAGUUCACCCAAAAAUUAAAAUUUGCUACAUCAUCGUAAUCCACAGCACUUUACAUUUUUGGGUAAAUAUAUUAUUUAAUUUUUUUUAUUUUUGGGGUGAGAUAUUGUGGUACUCAAAUCUAUUUUCUCAAGGUUGGCAGAUAUCUGCAGUGUGUAACUGGUGAUCUAAACAUACAGUGAUCCUACAUUUUAGUUACUGGGGGAAAAAUCCAGAUGCUUGCACAGACAUUCAGAGCUAAGCUCACAUAUGUUUUCAGUGGAGUGUUGUUUAGUCGUUUCCCUCCUCGUUUGCUGUUCCUGCCGUCUGUGCUGAUGCUGGGAGUCUGUUUCAAGGUCGUGUGAUCCUCUCCAACAAACGGCCAGAACUGUGGCGUUCUUCUACACGCUGAUGCUGCACUGCCUCGUCUUCCUGGUGCUGUAUAAAGCCGCCUGGAGUGAGAGUAUCGGUCGUGACUGUGCUGCAUUUUGUGCAAAGAAAUACUCGGACCGCCUGCACCGCUUCCAUGAGAAUGGAGAUGAGUUGCAGUAGCGGCUUCUGUCCACUAGAGUUCACAUCAAUCACAUCUUUAUAUCAUGACAAUCAGAGCUUGUGUUUAGUUACUGGUCUGCCAGUCUGCCAGAUACUUAGACACAACGCAUCUGGCACUAUAUUGAUAUCCUUUCAUUUUGUAUAUUCAACUAUCGGGACUAAAGGUAUAGUCUCUUGAAAUUAAAUUUAAGCUUUUAGGGAAUGUGUGUUUUCUUUACAACUAAUAAAAUAAAAUUACUAAAACGUUUGGGGGUCAUGUUCUUGAAAGGAGU